rnacentral:rRNA from 1 species
UCUAGAUAGAAAAUAGGUGCCCGUACCGCAAACCGACACAGGUAGUCAAGAUGAGAAUUCUAAGGUGAGCGAGCGAACUCUCGUUAAGGAACUCGGCAAAAUGACCCCGUAACUUCGGGAGAAGGGGUGCUCUUUAGGGUUAACGCCCAGAAGAGCCGCAGUGAAUAGGCCCAAGCGACUGUUUAUCAAAAACACAGGUCUCUGCUAAACCGUAAGGUGAUGUAUAGGGGCUGACGCCUGCCCGGUGCUGGAAGGUUAAGAGGAGUGGUUAGCUUCUGCGAAGCUACGAAUCGAAGCCCCAGUAAACGGCGGCCGUAACUAUAACGGUCCUAAGGUAGCGAAAUUCCUUGUCGGGUAAGUUCCGACCCGCACGAAAGGCGUAACGAUUUGGGCACUGUCUCAACGAGAGACUCGGUGAAAUCAUAGUACCUGUGAAGAUGCAGGUUACCCGCGACAGGACGGAAAGACCCCGUGGAGCUUUACUGUAGCCUGAUAUUGAAAUUCGGCACAGCUUGUACAGGAUAGGUAGGAGCCUUUGAAACGUGAGCGCUAGCUUACGUGGAGGCGCUGGUGGG